rnacentral:rRNA from 1 species
UUUUGGUCAAUGGCCUAACGGCUGAACCAGCAACUUGGAGGAAUGUAUAGGGAAAGCUGGUAAAAUGUGAUGUACCUAGUAGUAUUAAUCCUUAAUUAAUAUGAGAUUAACUAAGUUAAUUAAAGUUCUAAGUGGAUAUAUGAUUAUGACAAUAUUUAUUUAUGUCUUGACCAAGUCACGUGCCAGCAGUCGCGGUAAUACGUGGAAGAUUAGUGUUAUUCAUUUUUAACAGGUUUAAAGGGUACCUAGACGGUUAAUUAAGCACUAAAAUGUACUAAUUAACUAGAGUUUAAUGUAAGAAAGAUUGAGUACGGUGAGUGUAGAGAUAAAAUUCUAUGAUACCACUUAGGAACUGGUAAAGGCGAAGGCAACUUUUUAUGUAAAAACUGACGUUAAGGGACGAAGGCUCGUAUCAAAUAACAGGAUUAGAUACCCUAGUAUUGUGGGCAGACAAUGAUGAGUGUCAUAUGCAAGAAAGGUUUUGUGUAUAAAUGAAAGUGUAAGCACUCCACCUCAAGAGUAACGUGGCAACAUGGGAACUGAAAUCAUUAGACCGUUUCUGAAACUCGUAGUGAAGUAUGUUGUUUAAUUUGACACCACACAAAUAACCUUACCACAACUUGUAUAACUAUUAAUAAUGUAGCUACAAGCGUUGCACGGCUGUCUUCAGUCAAUGUUGUGAAACUGUGGUUAGAUCCAUUAAAUUGACGUAAACCCUUACUUUAUUUUAAAUAAAGUAGUUCGCCGCUAUAUUGGUAGUGAUAUAUGGGACUAAGACAAGUCAUCAUGACCUGAACGUUGUGGGCGACAGACGUGCCACAUUACCCUUAACAAAAAGAUGCAAA